GAGUCUCUUGCAGUGCUUUUUUCUGGGUGUCCUAAUCUUGAGGACAUGGAAGCCACUGGUUUAUGUUUUAAAAGCUAUGUAGUUGAAGCAAAGUUAAAAAAAUUGCCCUAAUUAGUCAGAACUCUUGUGGAAAAAGAUAAACAUAUAAUUCCAUUGGAAGUUGUUUGUAAUGUUCAGUUCCUGAGCAUAAAAUGGGAACUAAAUACUUUAUUUGUUUGUCAUUUCUUUCUAUUGCGAAAGAAAAUGAGAAUUUAUGAUAUUUUUUUUGUUGGGAUAUGCACCUUACAUAUGGACAACCAGGAAGUGGAAAUCAUUGAAGACUUUCUCGAAUUUCACAAUUUAACCCACAUUGAAUUCAGCUAUGUGGAAUGUACUAGAGACUGACUGGAAGUGUUGAAAGUGCUCAAGCAUUGUUCCAAACUUCAAAAUCUUGUCAAUGACCCAGUAGGACAAGUUUUUCUUUCUUCUUUUUGAGAAUCGGGAGACCAACUUGAAGGUGAAGUGAUCUUUGGAGGCUACCUAGUCUGCGGAUAAUGAUGGAGCUUUUGAGUAUGAACAUCAGGUUUAUCCUCUUGAUCCUGGUCAAAUUCUCCUCCAAGAUUCAAAGCUUAGGAACACUGAUCAUGUCUAUGGAGUGGUCAUUUUCACUGGACAUGACAGCAAAGUCAUGCAGAAUUCUACCAAAUCCCCUUCAAAAAGAAGCACAAUAGAAAAAAAAGAUGGAUUAUAUCAUGUACUGUCCUUAUAUUGAUAUCUUUUAUUAGUUCGAAAGCCUGCUCUAAAGGGAUUUGGUUUUUCCCUUAGGAAUGGUAACUGGUUGAAUCAGCUAACUGACGAAAGGGCUUUUCUAGUAGCAGCAAGAGAAUUUGGUUUCGAAUUUUAUUGGAGAACUCAAUCAAGUGUUGUCAUUCGUGAAAGAUUUUCUGCUUCGUAGGUGAGGUGGACAUUCACAAACUCCAUCCAUUUCCUAUUAACUAUGAAACAUUAAGAUCCUUUGUUAGUUAGAUUUUAUAAAGCUUGUAGCUUUCUAAUUAAGUUUUGUCCUAUUUUUUGUUACAGUUGCUUUUGAAUUUUUUAUUACUUUAAGAAUGGAAUGAACGGAAGGUGUUUAUGAUCAAGUAGCACCUUGUAAGUCAUCUUAUGUGUAUAUUUUGAAAAUAAAAAUUCUUCUAACACGGUUAUAUUUC